rnacentral:lncRNA from 1 species
GAUCGGAACAGUAGNUUGGUUAGAAUUUUAGAGAGAAGGUUGGGAGGUUUAGAGAGAAGGAGGAGAGUUUGANAUUUCAGAAAGUUGGGUUUGAGGAAGAAGAAGAAGAUUGCAUGGAAAAGUGGCGUCAGGUUUCAUUCUUACCUUAAAUACUGCCUCCAUUCCGAACGGUCGGCCAAUUCCCAGCAUGACACCUGACCUCCACUUUCUGGGGUUCACUGCUCUGCUGCUGCUACACGGAUCACGAAGGAAGGGAAUUAAAAGUUUGGCAGAG